AUUGAACGCUGGCGGCAGGCCUAACACAUGCAAGUCGAGCGGGGUUUUCGGACCUAGCGGCGGACGGGUGAGUAAUGCGUAGGAAGCUGCCCGAUAGAGGGGGAUACCAGUUGGAAACGACUGUUAAUACCGCAUAAUGUCUACGGACCAAAGUGUGGGACCUUCGGGCCACAUGCUAUCGGAUGCGCCUACGUGGGAUUAGCUAGUUGGUGAGGUAAUGGCUCACCAAGGCGACGAUCUCUAGCUGGUUUGAGAGGAUGAUCAGCCACACUGGAACUGAGACACGGUCCAGGCUCCUACGGGAGGCAGCAGUGGGGAAUAUUGGACAAUGGGCGCAGGCCUGAUCCAGCCAUGCCGCGUGUGUGAAGAAGGCCUUCGGGUUGUAAAGCACUUUCAGCGAGGAGGAAGGGUGGUGUGUUAAUAGCACAUCAUUUUGACGUUACUCGCAGAAGAAGCACCGGCUAACUCUGUGCCAGCCGCCGCCGUAAUAC
rnacentral:rRNA from 1 species